UACAGAGGGUGCGAGCGUUGUUCGGAAUUAUUGGGCGUAAAGGGCGCGUAGGCGGUGCGGUAAGUCACCUGUGAAAUCUCCUGGCUCAACUGGGAGCUUGCAGGCGAAACUGCCGUGCUGGAGUGUGGGAGAGGUGCGUGGAAUUCCUGGUGUAGCGGGGAAAUGCGUAGAUAUCAGGAGGAACACCUGUGGCGAAAGCGGCGCACUGGACCACAACUGACGCUGAGGCGCGAAAGCUAGGGGAGCAAACAGG
rnacentral:rRNA from 1 species